AUUAUACUUCCUCUAUCUAAAAAUACUUGUCAUAAAAAUGGAUGUAUCUAAACUUAUUUUAGUUAUAGAUACAUUUAUUUUAUUCAUUUAUAGAACAAGUAUUUUCGGACGGAGGGAGUACAUG
rnacentral:pre_miRNA from 1 species